UACGGAGGGUGCGAGCGUUGUCCGGAAUCACUGGGCGUAAAGGGUGCGUAGGCGGUCCUAUAAGUCAGUUGUGAAAUACGGCAGCUUAACUGUCGAGGUGCAAUUGAUACUGCAGGACUUGAGUACAGACGAGGUAGGCGGAAUUGACGGUGUAGCGGUGAAAUGCUUAGAUAUGACAUAGAACACCAAUUGCGAAGGCAGCUGGCUACACAAAUAUUGACACUGAGGCACGAAAGCGUGGGGAUCAAACAGG
rnacentral:rRNA from 1 species